GCCCGCUUAGCUCAGUGGUAGAGCAUUGUACUUAUGGGAUGACGUUAUCAAAACCUGCGCACAUUUGCAAGGGUCGGCAGUUCAAACCUGCCAGUGGGCA
rnacentral:tRNA from 1 species